UACGUAGGGACCAAGCGUUGUUCGGAUUUACUGGGCGUAAAGAGCUCGUAGGCGGUCUGUCGCGUCGGCUGUGAAAACCUGGGGCUUAACUCCGGGCUUGCAGCCGAUACGGGCAGACUAGAGUUCGGCAGGGGAGACUGGAAUUCCUGGUGUAGCGGUGAAAUGCGUAGAGAUCAUGAGGAAGACCAGUGGCGAAGGCGGGUCUCUGGACAGUUCCUGACACUGAGGCACGAAGGCCAGGGGAGCAAACGGG
rnacentral:rRNA from 1 species